GGUGGGCUACAGUCCAUGGGGUCACAGAGUCGAACCUGCCUGAGCAACAGAGCAUGCGCUUUGUCCGAGUUGAACCGCUCAGCACAGCCUGUGUCAGGUGAGCCUAGGGUGGGCCAGCAUGGCUGGAAGUAGACGCGUCACAGAGAAAAUCCCCUUUCCUAGUAAGGGGCUCCUGCUGGCCGGGCCCAAGACACCUCUGGAAGUUUGCACAGACCCACCAGUGUCCAAGGCAAGUUAAAGCACACUCUGUCACAGAUUUUCACUCAGGUGUUUGUCUUUCUGAGCACGGUGAAGGGGGUUUAACCACGGUGUUCUCCAGGGGAAGAUGCUGGGGGGUUGCGGUUCUCCUGCAGGGAGGUGGGAGGUGCUCAGACGCGGGCGAGGCAGAGCCUUGCCUCUGGGGCACCAGGCUGAGGCAGAGCCCUCGGGGCCUCCGGGCCUGGUUGGGCAGCAGCCGGCUCACCCCCUUCCUGGUGGGAUGCAUGCAGGAUAUGAGCGGCAGCUGCCUGCUCCUGUACCCGGGGCUCCAGGACUGCAAGAUGGGGGCCGGCUUUGCUGCUCACGCUGGUGGUCGCCGCCCAGUCACCUUGGUGUCAGCUUGAGAAGGAAUCGGCUCCCUGGCCAGGCAUGAGUGCGGUGCCAGCCAGUCAUCAGAGGAGGUAGCUGGGGGCCCGGGGGCAGAUGGAUCGCAGCCUCCUAAUGGCUGGGCCGCUGCUCCCUCUCCGAAGCCCCUGGACACGGGGCCCUGUGCAGGCUGUGUGGAGCUGAGUGCCAAGGGGCCUGGAUGCACCAACUCUGCAGGCUUUGACCAUGGAACCCCUGGGCGUCCACUGGAGAAUCAACCUGAGAGGUUAGAGGCAGUCUCCCGCAGCUUUCAACACUGUUGUCGAGAAACGGAGAGCCCCCGUGGCCACUGAGCAGGUCUGUGAGUCUAGAUCGGGGUGAGUGUCAUGUGUUUCGUCACUUGUUCUGCAGACACGUCCAGGGCUUCCAGGCCAGACCUGCGUUGGUGCUGGGACAGCAGAUGACGCUCAUGAGGUCGGCCCUGCAGAGGCUUGGCCUGCGAAGCAUUCCAGGAGGUGUGGCUGGAGAUGUCACAGCCAGCCUGUGAACGGGAGCUGCAGGCUCGUCCCCGCCCGGCCUCCUGCCCUGGGGGGCUGUGGGGCUCCCCCAGGGGGCAUCGGGGUCCCUUCAAGGAGGGUGCUCCCAGCCGCAGGUCCUGAUGCCAUCCUCUGGCCUCUAGCUCGGGCAAGUUCUGGAAUUACUCUGGGCAGCAUGGGGCCUGUGACACCUGUGGGAGUGACCCUGCUCCGUGGGGUGCUGGAUGUGCCGCGGACAGCACGCCGCGUGUCUUGUGUCCUCCCUGUGAACUCUGUCACAGGAAGCUGGCUGCUCUCCGGGCACGUCACCCGUGGGCAGGUCCACUGGGCGUCCUGCAGGAGAGCCCGUGACAGCAGUGCUGCUCGCCCCUUCCAGAAAUGCAGACUCUGCUUUCACCGCUGGGCGAGAGUCACAGGAUCGCACGACCAGGCUAGGGCUGGCCCUGGACACAGGUCCCCCCGCCCAGCCCUCAGCACCCCGAGGUCUGGGCCGCAUCAGGGGCCCUGGAGGCAGGUCCCUUCAGGAGCCAGGCAGGGAGGCGGGCGUGGAGGCCGCUGUGGGGGAGGCUGUAAGGCGCCUGAGCCAGGCGGCUGGGGAGUACUGCCCACUGACAGCGACCUGUGGCUUUGAAGCUGUUUGUUAUGUGGCAUUACUGUAGGGUUUGGUAACUGAUACAGUCCCAUGGGCCAGAUUCACCUAUGGGGGUCCUGAUUGCGACCUUGGAGGUUUCCAAGACUUUUUCCCAUUCAGAAUGUGAUUCCACAAGAAGAGCUUAACUGUCUGUUCUCUUCCCUCCAGGGCUGUACAGCUAGAGAGGGUAACUUUCUGCCCAUUCUGCCUGGCAAUAGUCAUGUCCCACCGCCCUGCAGGGCCGCCCAGGGCUGGGCUCCUCUGAGGGUGCAGGGUAGACUGCCCGAGCCACAGGGACAGGAGAUGGCAAGCCAAGCAGAACAGCCGCCCGUGAGUCACCGUUCCAGAACCACCACAAAUGGCCCGCACCUGCUCACCCACCCCUUCCCGCACCUGCCAGCCUUACCAGGGGCUUUUGGCCGCUGGACAGAGUGGGGCUGGCGCACACUGACCACCUCCAGAAGACAGUGACAGAUGUUAGCACCAGCAGGUCCUGCUCCUCCUGUCAGCAGAUGUCAAGACAUGAAAAAUUGGGUUAUUUGCUUGUAAAUGUGGGUUCAGGAGCCUCUCCAGGCCCUGGCGUUGGCGAGCUCCAUCAGUGCUCGUGCAGGCGUGAGCUGGGGAACCAGAGAAGGCACCUCAGAGCGCCAUUCAGCACCAGGCCCGCGGCCUGUGGCUCAAGGUUGCAGAAGAAGGUUGAAACAGGCGAGAACUUGACUCUGGCUGGCCUUUCUCCGGCCAGGUCCUGCUCGACAGCGUUCAUCCCCAUGGAGGUUCUAG